UACGGAGGGGGCUAGCGUUGUUCGGAAUUACUGGGCGUAAAGCGCACGUAGGCGGCUUUGCAAGUUAGAGGUGAAAGCCCGGGGCUCAACCCCCGGAAUUGCCUUUAAAACUGCAUCGCUAGAAUUGUGGAGAGGUAAGUGGAAUUCCGAGUGUAGAGGUGAAAUUCGUAGAUAUUCGGAAGAACACCAGUGGCGAAGGCGACUUACUGGACACAUAUUGACGCUGAGGUGCGAAAGCGUGGGGAGCAAACAGG
rnacentral:rRNA from 1 species